UUUGAUAAUCAAGAGUCUUGUGCAUCCUUAAGUUAUCCAGUCAACCAUAAUGUCCUUCAUAAUUUAAAUCUUCACGAUUACUCUAUUAUGCCCCUCUUGAUUUGAAAGUAUUGCUUUGUGAUUCUUCUUCCCUUCUUCACUUUGAUUUGGCACGUCCUAAGCUUUGCACCUUCACUGUCUUAUUUUUGUGUUUAUUAUUUGCUGAAGUACUGCAAAACACUGUACAUGGUUCACAACAAUGGUAUCAUAUCACUAGAAUAAAAUAGAUUGUGAUUUUUUUUUUUUAAUUACAUUCCAAGGUACAUUGUAUAUUUCUAUGUUAAUCCAAUGUAUGAGUUUGGUUAACGGUUUUCCACUGCAAGUUUGUCUAACUUGCAAUGACCAAGAACGGAAUAAAUGUGUAGAAGUCUGGAUGCUGCUCUUUGUUUCAUGCUUGCAGUUAUUGAGCAACAGUCGAGCUUUAGUAAGCUCCUAACCCAAUACUGCUUUGAUACCAUGGGACUUAAUUGGAGCAAAUUUGUUAUAUAUUGCCAAAUUUUUUCUCAUACAUGCCCCCUCUAAAUAUUAUUUGCAUAUAUAAAUCCUCAUUUUAGAUCAUGUUUCUUCUUACAGAUGUUCUUGCAAUUAAAUCCAGCUGCGCA
rnacentral:lncRNA from 1 species